UACUCCUACGGGAGGCAGCAGUGGGGAAUAUUGCUCAAUGGGGGGAACCCUGAAGCAGCAACGCCGCGUGGAGGAUGACACUUUUCGGAGCGUAAACUCCUUUUGUUAGGGAAGAACACUGACGGUACCUAACGAAUAAGCACCGGCUAACUCCGUGCCAGCAGCCGCGGUAAU
rnacentral:rRNA from 1 species